GACGGAGGAUGCAAGUGGUAUCCGGAAUCACUGGGCGUAAAGCGUCUGUAGGUGGUCAAAUAAGUCAACUGUUAAAUCUUGAGGCUCAACCUCAAAAUCGCAGUCGAAACUAUUAGACUAGAGUAUAGUAGGGGUAAAGGGAAUUUCCAGUGGAGCGGUGAAAUGCGUAGAGAUUGGAAAGAACACCGAUGGCGAAGGCACUUUACUGGGCUAUUACUAACACUGAGAGACGAAAGCUAGGGUAGCAAAUGGG
rnacentral:rRNA from 1 species